rnacentral:rRNA from 1 species
GAUGAACGCUGGCGGCGUGCCUAAUACAUGCAAGUCGAGCGAACGGACGAGAAGCUUGCUUCUCUGAUGUUAGCGGCGGACGGGUGAGUAACACGUGGAUAACCUCCCUAUAAGACUGGGAUAACUUCGGGAAACCGGAGCUAAUACCGGAUAAUAUUUUGAACCGCAUGGUUCAAAAGUGAAAGACGGUCUUGCUGUCACUUAUAGAUGGAUCCGCGCUGCAUUAGCUAGUUGGUAAGGUAACGGCUUACCAAGGCUACGAUGCAUAGCCGACCUGUGAGGGUGGUCGGCCACCCUGGAACUGAGACACGAUCCAGACUCCUACGGGAGGCAGCAGUAGGGAAUCUUCCGCAGUGGGCGAAAGCCUGACGGAGCAACGCCGCGUGAGUGAUGAAGGUCUUCGGAUCGUAAAACUCUGUUAUUAGGGAAGAACAUAUGUGUAAGUAAAUGUGCACAUCUUGACGGUACCUAAUCAGAAAGCCACGGCUAACUACGUG